GUUGUUUCCCCUAGAUCUGUUCUGACGAACAUGCAUAUGCAUCACACUAAUCUGCUUCAUCAUAAUUAUUAAAUCCAAGCAUGUAGGUACCGCUUAUGUACUGGAGCCUUGAUCUUAAUUUUUCUUCAUUGAUGUCCUUGGAGAAGAUGGCCAUUGGAGUGUAGGGGAGGAACAACCUUGUCUUGCUCAAGGAGGAGGACCACCCGAUCUCGACGACGGCACGGCAACAGGUAGCACUCGCCUCCCUCCCAAGGUGAAGGUCU